GACGAACGCUGACGGCGUGCUUAACACAUGCAAGUCGAACGAUGAAGCCGGAGCUUGCUCCGGUGGAUUAGUGGCGAACGGGUGAGUAACACGUGAGCAAUCUGCCCUUGACUCUGGGAUAACUGCGGGAAACUGUAGCUAAUACCGGAUACGACACCUUGGGGCAUCCCAGGGUGUGGAAAGAAUUUCGGUCAAGGAUGAGCUCGCGGCCUAUCAGCUAGUUGGUGAGGUAAUGGCUCACCAAGGCGACGACGGGUAGCCGGCCUGAGAGGGUGACCGGCCACGCUGGAACUGAGACACGGUCCAGACUCCUACGGGAGGCAGCAGUGGGGAAUAUUGCACAAUGGGCGAAAGCCUGAUGCAGCAACGCCGCGUGAGGGAUGAAGGCCUUCGGGUUGUAAACCUCUUUUAGCAGGGAAGAAGCGAAAGUGACGGUACCUGCAGAAAAAGCACCGGCUAACUACGUGCCAGCCGCCGCGGUAA
rnacentral:rRNA from 1 species